rnacentral:rRNA from 1 species
GGGUGAGUAAUGUAUCGGAACGUGCCUAGUAGCGGGGGAUAACUACGCGAAAGCGUAGCUAAUACCGCAUACGCCCUACGGGGGAAAGCAGGGGAUCGCAAGACCUUGCACUAUUAGAGCGGCCGAUAUCGGAUUAGCUAGUUGGUGGGGUAACGGCUCACCAAGGCGACGAUCCGUAGCUGGUUUGAGAGGACGACCAGCCACACUGGGACUGAGACACGGCCCAGACUCCUACGGGAGGCAGCAGUGGGGAAUUUUGGACAAUGGGGGAAACCCUGAUCCAGCCAUCCCGCGUGUGCGAUGAAGGCCUUCGGGUUGUAAAGCACUUUUGGCAGGAAAGAAACGUCGCGGGUUAAUACCCCGCGGAACUGACGGUACCUGCAGAAUAAGCACCGGCUAACUACGUGCCAGCAGCCGCGGUAAUACGUAGGGUGCAAGCGUUAAUCGGAAUUACUGGGCGUAAAGCGUGCGCAGG